rnacentral:tRNA from 1 species
GGAGGUAUAGCUCAGUGGUAGAGCACAUGCCUCACAUGCUCAAGGCCCUGGGAUCAAUCCCCAGCACCCCCC